rnacentral:lncRNA from 1 species
UUUUUUUUUUUUUUUUUUACAAGGUGUCCUAUUCUAGACUAAUCCUUGGGUCUGUGAUCCGGCCCCUCUUCACACAGUCCGGUUAAUCGCAGGAUGUGCCUCCAACUGGCCAGGGUCCGAGCGCUCCCCACCUGGUCUGACAAAGUGCCAAGCAAGCCAAUCCAAGUUGCACCUUGCCUUCCAAGAAUAAUCCUUGCCUUCCAAGUUCCCACUUGCCUUCCAAGAAUAAAUCAUUGCCUUCCAAAUGUUCCCUUGCCUUCCAAGAGCCCCAUGUUUCGAACUCACGACCUCUGCUCUGCCAGGUUUGACAGCGUCCGUCCUUUGCCAGUGGAGAAGUGUCCUGGGGGGCUCUG